rnacentral:rRNA from 2 species
GACAGAGGGUGCAAACGUUGUUCGGAAUUACUGGGCGUAAAGCGCGUGUAGGCUGUCUCGAAAGUCGGAUGUGAAAGCCCUGGGCUCAACCUAGGAAGUGCAUUCGAAACUUCGAGACUCGAGUCCUGGAGAGGAUCGCGGAAUUCUCGGUGUAGAGGUGAAAUUCGUAGAUAUCGAGAGGAACACCGGUGGCGAAGGCGGCGAUCUGGACAGUGACUGACGCUGAGACGCGAAAGCGUGGGGAGCAAACAGG